UUGAAAAUCUUUGUUCAAAUAGGACAAAGUUGCUGGCGUAGCUGACAAGAAAACUACACCAUUAUAAAUAUUCCCCAGCACACUUGUUGUGAUCAUAACAACAUUAGUUUUACUAAAUAGCCUUAACUUAUCUUCAAAUUGUUCAGCUUGUUCUCCCCACAGUACCAUUGUAGUGUCGAUUCCAUUAAUUGCAUUGUUUGAUAAGCUUAAAUGUUAGUAUAAAAUUAAUCAUGAGACGAUUUUAACAAACAAUCCUAGAUAUGGUUAAAAUUUAUAAAUCUAUUUUUUAAAGUAUAUCCAUACCUUUCUAGUAUCAAUGUUAG
rnacentral:lncRNA from 1 species